AUCCGAGUAGACGAUUCCUUUGCACAUCGACCGAUGAGACAAGCUCGACAUCGAUCAACAGCACUUAAGAUCCAACGAUCGAUUGUCUCUUCAUUGUGUCGAAUGACUAUUCUAGCUAUCGAUCGAUGAGACCAUGUCGCUAUCAUUCGACAGCACUUCAUCAACAACGAUCGAUUGUCACUUCAUUGUGUCGAUCGACACUGAGCAGGUCAUCGUUCUUACUUGUUAAAUUAUGUAUUUAUGAUUAUUUCUCACCAUCACUCCGACAAGAUAUACACUGGGGACAGUGUAAUUUAAGUCUGGGGGGAUGUUUACUGAUAUUAGUGUGUUCAUGAGUCUUAUCAAAAUGUUUUCAAAAGAGUUUUAUUGAGUCAAGAAUGGGAUAAUGAACUUAUUAGAUUUUUGCUUGUUAUCUAACCACCCAUUAGCACUAUUCUAGACUUACUGAUUGCAGAUAGUACUAAAGAUAUAAAUUGGAUCAACCUGUCAAGUAUUCACGCUUACUGAAAUUGUUUGAAAGAGCCAAAGCGGACCUCCAACACUAAAUCUAGCUAUUCUCCCAACUGUUAACAACCUCAAAACAAACCAAUCGAGCAAUAAACUUUCUUAGCAAUCCAUUUACUGCUUUAAAACUUAUAAACCAAUUAAUCUAGAUUUAUUUCAAGACCAUAAUCUACUAUGUAAUCCUAGAGUCUCUGUAGUUUUGAUCCCUAAGUACUACAUUCGAACCUCUUAUUUGAGAGAGUAAUUCACUCCUUGGCAAUUUGAGUGAUAUCAACUUGGGCUCUACGUCGGCUGAGACCAAACGAGCUUUCGCGCUUCACUGUCGAUCGAUGUCAAGAUGUGAACGUCGAUCGAUUAUUCCUCUUCAAUGUUGACCGAUGGUCGAGCUCGAUGGUCAUCUCGGGUGCUUACUCCAAAUAUCUCCAAAAUGCUCCAAAAUCACCACUUUCCUCCAAAUCACUCAUGAUCCUAUAAAUAUGCUAAAUAGACUCUAGAAUAUAAUAAAUAGUUAUUAAAACACUUAUAAACCAUGGGUAAAAGUGGGUCAAAUCCAUGGUAAAAGAGGUUUGAAAACAGCAGGGACUCACAUAAUCUUAAACAUAGAAUCAACACCUUAGAUAGUCUUAGUCUCAGAAGCACACUAAAUCAUAUCCUAGUCUACCAACCAAGUUCAUCUAGUCAACAACUUAGCAAAUCAUGUCUGAUAAUCCCAUCUACCAACCUCAAUUCUUACAUAAAUAAAGUGUAGGCUUUACCUUGGGGUAUCGAUCACAUGAUACAAAGAUGCUCAAACAAGUAUUUGGACCUGC
rnacentral:lncRNA from 1 species